rnacentral:rRNA from 1 species
GACGAACGCUGGCGGCGUGCUUAACACAUGCAAGUCGAACGGGCCUGUCUUCUUUUUUGGGGGUGGGUUGAGUGGCGAACGGGUGAGUAUCACGUGAGUAACCUGCCCUUCGGUCCUGGAUAACCGCUUGAAAGGGCGGCUAAUACGGGGUGGUCCGGUUGGUCCGCAUGGGCUGGUCGGGAUAGAUUCACUGUUUUUGGUGUUUCGGCGGGGGAUGGGCUCGCGGCCUAUCAGCUUGAUGGUGGGGUGAUGGCCUACCAAGGCGGUGACGGGUAGCCGGCCUGAGAGGGUGGGCGGCCACACUGGGACUGAGCUCCGGCCCAGCCUACUGCGGGAGGCAGCCGUGGGGGGUAUUGCACAAUGGGCGGCAACCUGAUGCAGCGACGUCGCGUGAGAGAUGGAGGCCUUCGGGUUGUGAACCUCUGUUUGCGGUGGUGAAGGCCCUGUCCGUGUGGUGGGGUUGACGGUAGCCGGGGAUGAAGCGCCGGCUAACUACGUG